rnacentral:rRNA from 1 species
CAGUAGCCGCGGGAAUACGUAGGGUGCAAGCGUUAAUCGGAAUUACUGGGCGUAAAGCGUGCGCAGGCGGUUUGUUAAGACAGAUGUGAAAUCCCCGGGCUUAACCUGGGAACUGCAUUUGUGACUGGCAAGCUAGAGUAUGGCAGAGGGGGGUGGAAUUCCGCGUGUAGCAGUGAAAUGCGUAGAUAUGCGGAGGAACACCGAUGGCGAAGGCAGCCCCCUGGGCCAAUACUGACGCUCAUGCACGAAAGCGUGGGGAGCAAAUGGGAUUAGAUACCCCGGUAGUCCCUGUCUCUUAUAC